rnacentral:lncRNA from 1 species
AGAGGUAGAAGUGGUGGGAAGUGUUGAAUAUUUGAUAUAUUUUGAAGGUUGAGCCAAUGAGAUUUUCUGAUGGUUUGGAUUUUUUUUUUUUUUUUCAGAUGGAGUUUCCCUCUGUUGCCCAGGCUAGAGUGUAGUGGCACAAUCUCGGCUCCCUGAAACAUCCGCCUCCCAGGCUGGAGCGAAUUUCCUGCUUCAGUCUCCCGAGUACCUGGGAUUACAGGCACGUGCCACCACGCCUGGCUAGCUUUUUGUAUUUUUAGUAGAGACGGGAUUUCACCGUGUUAGCCAGGAUUGUCUUGAUCUCCUGACCUCGUGAUCCACCAGCCUUGGCUUCCCAAAGUGCUGGGAUUACAGGCAUGCCCUACCGGUUUAGAUUUUUAUGUUGGAGAACAAAAAAGGAAUCAGUGAUAAUACCAGCCAUCACCACCAAGUCAUCAUCAGUAUACACAAACAUGGACCUGCUGAUGUGCAACACUGAGCAUAAGGCCCAGUCCCUGAAUCUGAAUGUCCUGUGCCUGAGGAAAUAAGGUCUUCAAGGAAGGCAAUAAAGGAACCAACAUGUACUGAGCAUGUUCUGUGUGUGGUCCACUUAUGUAAAAUACAUCACACAUGAGUAGAGACUGAAAAAUAUCACUCUUUUGACAGCUGGCACAAGAGGAAUUUUAGGAAGAAGAGAGUAUUUAGAAAAUAUUGUUAGGCUACUUAGUGGUAGAGUGAGGCCUGGAGAACUGGCCUGGAUGAAGACUGUGUCACAAAGCAGUGGCAAAAGUGAAAACUUUGAAUUUGGGAAUGAGGUAAGCAAACAUGGGAGAGAUGGUAUAAUGCUCCACAUUUCUCUCUUCUGAAGUGAAAUGCAGAUGUUAGAUAGUUAAAAGAGAGAUCAAAUAGAGUCUGACUGUAUUAAUAAUUCAGGUCACAGGGUUAUAUGUGCUUAUCCUCAAACUGCCUAUCCAAGGGGGACUAGUAGAAGGAGUUCUGAAUUCUACCUUGGAGAGGUAAGAGAUAUAAUUUAGGCCGGGCCGGGGGCCCAAGCCUGUAAUCCCAGCACUUUGGGAGGCCGAGGCGGGUGGAUCACGAGGUCAAGAGAUCGAAACCAUCCUGGUCAACAUGGUGAAACCCCGUCUCUACUAAAGAUACAAAAAAUUAGCUGGGCAUGGUGGCGCGUGCCUGUAAUCCCAGCUACUCAGGAGGCUGGGGCAGGAGAAUUGCCUGAACCCAGGAGGCGGAGGUUGUGGUGAGCCGAGAUCGCGCCAUCGCACUCCAGCCUGGGUAACAAGAGCGAAACUCCGUCUCAAAAAAAAAAAAAAAAAAAAAAGAUAUAAUUUAGAGCAUUUCUGAAACACACAAAAGCUGUUUAGACGAUGCUGGGAGUGUGUGUGGGGAAACACCAUAGGUUUCUUAGAAAUGGAAAUCCUCCUUUGACUUUAUUUCCAUCCCUUCCUUCUCGAUUACAGAG